UGAUGUGUCUUGGAUUGUUAUUUGCACUGUCUAUUCUCUUUUGGGUGUCGUGGAUGUUAUUGACACUGUUUACUUUCUGUGGGCGAGGAGGUCGGGUUGAGUUACUGACAGUGUUCAUUUUCUGUGGGCAGCAAUGAAGCUAUAUUCCCGAAUAAGUCAAUUUAAAAGAACAACAGAAAAAUACUGUGCAGAUACAGAGAUGGAGAAAAACAGACAUUGUGCGAUCAAUACAUCUAAGUCAGCAGCUUUCAAAACCCGAAUGAAUUCCCAAGUCUGCUCCCGAUGCAGCCAGAGUAGACCAGUGCUCUGGUCCCAGUUCAGCACACCAGCAUGAAAUGUGUGACUGAGGGAUCAGUUUGCCGUUCAGCGCCAUGGAGAAAAGUAGAGACAUUCUCUGGAGACUGAGUGAAAGCAGCCUAUCUUCGCCUCUCUACCCAGCCGUCUGGCUUCCAAUCUCUCUGUGCUGACGUUUAAACUGUAGUGUCCCGGACCCAGCUGGAGUGUCGCAUCCAGUCCGAAGCCAUACUGGAUGUCAUGGAAUUGGCUUGGCGUUAGGAGUGAUCCCACCUUGCACACGGGUUGGGUGGACAGGCUUCGAAACUUUUCCGCAUGGACUCCACUCCAAAUCACUCUCUCCAUCUCUGGCAGUGAUCCAAACUCUGUCCAUGACCCCAGCUCAAACACGUUGUGCCUCACUGUGCCCCAGCACUCCUCAUCCCUCGAUCCACCCUGACCUCCGCCUGCCUCCUCACUGAGGCAGUAGUUCACCACAGUUUCCUUCUAAGAAGAUGCUAUAAGCAAUGUUUUAGUUGAACCUUUUGUCUUAUGAUGUACCACUCAGCUAUUAUAUGUCUUCAGUGGAGCCAUCUUAAACAGGAAUAAUGAUUUAAUGAGCUCAGUUUCUACUGUCGCUUGAAUGCUUAUCUCCCAAAUAUGACCCUUCCAUCAUGUGACAGCAUAAUCUUAAGAAAUUCCCUCACUUGUUUUUAAUUGCAAUACGUAACCUUGUCUUGUUGCCAAUUCUUUGCCUUUCACCUGCUUUGUAAUCGUGAAAUAUCUUAGUGCCCUGCAGUUCUAGCUUUUGGUAUAGUACUGAUGUUAAUCACUGCACUGUUGGAGUUGUGACUUCAGGCCUCAGGCUUUAUAACCUCUUCUUUUUAUCUCUCUUUCCUACCCAUUUGACCAAGCUUCUGGCAUUUUCCCUCCCCCUAUCCUUCUCACUUUUCUCAUUCCCGAAUCUUGCUCCCCUCUCACUCCGUCCUUUCUCUUCACCUGCCCAUUAACUCUCUCUGGUUUCACUCCUUCUUCCCUUUCUCCCAUGGUCCCCUCUCCUAUCAAAUUCCUUCUUCUUCAGCCCCUUACUUCUUCCACCUAUCAUCUCCCAACUUCUUACUUCCUUUCACCUCUCCCAAUCAUCUUCCUUGGCCUCUCCCUUGGUCUCACUUGUCACCUGCCGGCUUGGACUCCUCGUCCUCCACUCGCUUUCCUAUUCUAGCUCCCUCUCCCUGCAUUUCCAGUCCUCACGAACGGUCUCGACCUGAAAUAUCAGCUGUUUAUUUCUCUCCAUUGAUUCUGCCUGACCUGCUGAGUUCCUCCAGUGUUUAGUGUGUUUUGCUCUGGAUUUCAGAAUCAGAAUCAGGUUUAUUAUCACCGGCAUACGUUGGGAAAUUUGUCCACUUAGCGGCAGCAGGAUAAUGCAAUACAUGAGAAAUAUAGAAAAAAUAAAUCAAUUACAUUAAGCAUAUAUAUAUAUAUAUAUAUAUGUAUAUUAAAUAAUUAAAUUUAAAAUUAGUGCAAAAACAGAAAUAAUAAAAGUAAAGCAGUGUCCAUUUUG